GAAGUGCGAUAAGCAAUGCGAAUUGCAGAAUUCCGCGAGUCAUCAGAUCUUUGAACGCAAAUGGCGCCGGAGGGAUAUCCUUCUGGCAUGUCUGUUUCAGUGUCUGAGAGGUUUCAUCAACAUCUUAAUGUGAUUGACGGCAGCUACAGCAGCAGCUCUUGUAGUUGUUAUUGUUGCUGGCGUCUCUCAUGAAAGAUGCGCGAGUGGAUCUUUCGGUCCAAUGAAGUGGUCACAUCACACGCAUGUGAUUUCAUUGGGAGCACCGAAUUAUCCGCCAUGCUCGCGGUCUCAUUGUAGAUGGCUCAUUACCAUCUCUUUUUCUCUCUACACCCUGCAUCUGAGAUAGGCAAGAUCACCCGCUGAACUUAA
rnacentral:misc_RNA from 1 species